GGCUAUCAUGCAGUCGAGCGAAUGGAUUAAGAGCUUGCUCUUAUGAAGUUAGCGGCGGACGGGUGAGUAACACGUGGGUAACCUGCCCAUAAGACUGGGAUAACUCCGGGAAACCGGGGCUAAUACCGGAUAACAUUUUGAACUGCAUGGUUCGAAAUUGAAAGGCGGCUUCGGCUGUCACUUAUGGAUGGACCCGCGUCGCAUUAGCUAGUUGGUGAGGUAACGGCUCACCAAGGCAACGAUGCGUAGCCGACCUGAGAGGGUGAUCGGCCACACUGGGACUGAGACACGGCCCAGACUCCUACGGGAGGCAGCAGUAGGGAAUCUUCCGCAAUGGACGAAAGUCUGACGGAGCAACGCCGCGUGAGUGAUGAAGGCUUUCGGGUCGUAAAACUCUGUUGUUAGGGAAGAACAAGUGCUAGUUGAAUAAGCUGGCACCUUGACGGUACCUAACCAGAAAGCCACGGCUAACUACGUGCCAGCAGCCGCGGUAAUACGUAGGUGGCAAGCGUUAUCCGGAAUUAUUGGGCGUAAAGCGCGCGCAGGUGGUUUCUUAAGUCUGAUGUGAAAGCCCACGGCUCAACCGUGGAGGGUCAUUGGAAACUGGGAGACUUGAGUGCAGAAGAGGAAAGUGGAAUUCCAUGUGUAGCGGUGAAAUGCGUAGAGAUAUGGAGGAACACCAGUGGCGAAGGCGACUUUCUGGUCUGUAACUGACACUGAGGCGCGAAAGCGUGGGGAGCAAACAGGAUUAGAUAC
rnacentral:rRNA from 1 species